GACGAACGCUGGCGGCGUGCUUAACACAUGCAAGUCGAACGGAAAGGCCCUGCUUUUGUGGGGUGCUCGAGUGGCGAACGGGUGAGUAACACGUGAGUAACCUGCCCUUGACUUUGGGAUAACUUCAGGAAACGGGGGCUAAUACCGGAUAGGAGCUCCUGCUGCAUGGUGGGGGUUGGAAAGUUUCGGCGGUUGGGGAUGGACUCGCGGCUUAUCAGCUUGUGGGUGGGGUAGUGGCUUACCAAGGCUUUGACGGGUAGCCGGCCUGAGAGGGUGACCGGCCAAAUUGGGCCUGAGAUAGGGCCAAGCCUCAUCCGGGAGGCAGCAGUGGGGAAUAUUGAACAAUGGGCGGAAGCCUGAUGCAGCAACGCCGCGUGCGGGAUGACGGCCUUCGGGUUGUAACCCGCUUUCGCCUGUGACGAAGCGUGAGUGACGGUAAUGGGUAAAGAAGCACCGGCUAACUACGUG
rnacentral:rRNA from 1 species